GAUUGCCUUUAUUUUAUUUUAUUUUAUUAUUUUAUUUUAUUUUAAUUUUUUUUAUUUAUUUUUUAUGUUAUUUUUUCCAAAAGCAGAAUCCUGGUCCGGGACUGGUGGCUCUGCCCACUGUAAUCGGAGUUAUCAUCCUCAGUAAAUGGCAGUAUUUGUAUUUUUAAAAUUACAAGAUAUCACUCUUAUGUUUUCUAAGAAACCCCCCUGCCCUAGGAGGCAGAUGCGUUACAAAGGCCGCUCUGAAGAGUAACGAGAAUCUAAUCCUCAGAAAUGGUAUAUUCCACAGCAAAACCAGGUUACUGCUGUUUCUCCCACACUUCUUAACUGGGUCACUCACUGCUGGGUCUGAGCAUCACGCUGACACGAACCCGCAUCAGCCGCCCUCUGGAACAGCUGGCAUCUACCUCUCCCACUUAACUCUACCAACACUUGAUCUAUCACUAAGAGUCUCUGCAUUGACUUCAAAGGGCUCUACAGGAAGCUUCUAGGGUAAACUCAAAAGUAUUGCCUGUCACUCCAAUAAGACA